CAGCACCUCAAGUGGUCAGGAUGAUUAUUGGGCCUAAAGCAUCCGUAGCCGGCGCUGUAAGUUUUCGGUUAAAUCUGUACGCUCAACGUACAGGCUGCCGGGAAUACUGCAGCGCUAGGGAGUGGGAGAGGUAGACGGUACUCGGUAGGAAGGGGUAAAAUCCUUUGAUCUAUUGAUGACCACCUGUGGCGAAGGCGGUCUACCAGAACACGUCAGACGGUGAGGGAUGAAAGCUGGGGGAGCAAACCGGAUUAGAUACCCGAGUAGUCC
rnacentral:rRNA from 1 species